AGUGAACGCUGGCGGUAGGCCUAACACAUGCAAGUCGAACGGCAGCACAGUAAGAGCUUGCUCUUACGGGUGGCGAGUGGCGGACGGGUGAGGAAUACAUCGGAAUCUACUUUUUCGUGGGGGAUAACGUAGGGAAACUUACGCUAAUACCGCAUACGACCUACGGGUGAAAGCAGGGGAUCUUCGGACCUUGCGCGAUUGAAUGAGCCGAUGUCGGAUUAGCUAGUUGGCGGGGUAAAGGCCCACCAAGGCGACGAUCCGUAGCUGGUCUGAGAGGAUGAUCAGCCACACUGGAACUGAGACACGGUCCAGACUCCUACGGGAGGCAGCAGUGGGGAAUAUUGGACAAUGGACGCAAGCCUGAUCCAGCCAUACCGCGUGGGUGAAGAAGGCCUUCGGGUUGUAAAGCCCUUUUGUUGGGAAAGAAAAGCAGCAGGUUAAUACCCCGCCGUUCUGACGGUACCCAAAGAAUAAGCACCGGCUAACUUCGUG
rnacentral:rRNA from 1 species